CUCAAGAAAAGAAAGCCAUAGUUUGGGCCAAGCAGGCACUUCCCCAACUGGCCUGCUCUCUUUCUUUAAAUGCUGCCGAGGUGCUUUUCUAUUGCAAAUUUGGAGAUCUGACGAAAAAGGAAGGCGGAAACUUAUCGAAGGAGCGGAAAUAAAAGAUGAUUCACCGGAAAUGGAGUUUGCUAACAGGCCCAGUUGUCAUCCUCGGCGGCGUUGUGGGAGCCACCGUCGUCGCUCACUUUCUCUUUGUUGACGAUCCAUAUCUUAAACCAAAGAAGAAUACUGAUUCACCACCACAAACCAAGUAGAAAGAAGCCGACGGUCGCUGUUGGCAUUUGGAGCAAAGAAAUGCCUAGGUCGCUAUUUAAAACAUGAGUUGUUUGUUGAAUAAUGUCAAAUCUGUUUGUUUUGUAAUUUGGGUUAGCUUCUGUUUUCUCUUUCUUAAAUAACAACUCAACUACAAAGUUCUUGAACACUUGCAUUGAAUCUCAGAACAUUGCUUAAAGUUGCACCAGACAGACUACUUUGCAAAUAGACUUUGAUAAAGCAGGUUCCACCUAUUGGUUCCGUA